rnacentral:rRNA from 1 species
UUUUAGAAUAUAUUAACAUUGCUGUAUUUAAAACGCUCAUAGUCGAAAGUAAAAUUAUUUAUAUUGUUAUCGAAAGAUCAACAGUAUAUUGUAAUUUUUAUUAUAUUACCUUGAAGAAAUUAGAGUGUUUAAAGCAAGCAUAUGCCUGAAUACAUGCGCAUGGGAUAAUAAAAUAAGACUUUUAUUGGUUAAAAAUUUAAGUAAUGAUUAACAGGGACAAUUGGGGGCACUUGUAUUUUUUAGGAAGAGGUGAAAUUUAUUGAUCUAAGGAAGACAAACGAAAGCGAAAGCAUUUGCCAAGGGUGUUUNCAUUG